AUCUGCCCGCCUCAGCCUCCCAAAGUGCUGGGAUUACAGGCAUGAGCCACCACGGCUGGCCAGAAAUCUGUCUCUUAUUUGAAGAAUGGUCUGGCAAUGGAUUGUGGUUUGGUUGGUAAAAACAAAUCAUAUAGAACUUUACAGUUUGCAGUGUGCUUUUAGCAGCUUGACUUCAACCAAUGCUCUCAACCUUGUGAGGCAAACAGGUGUGUUAUAGGUGUCUCCAUUUCACAGUUCAGGAAACUGAGACUCAGAGGGGAUAAACAGCUGUUCCGUGGUGGAGCUGGUGCUAGGGGCCUGUGGCUCCAGAUGGCAUGCUCUCUCCCUCUGCUGCUGUCCUCUAGCCCUCACCACGAGCUCAGCGGGCUGAGAUGGGUGGAGACCCUGAUCCAUUUUUGCUGCAUUUUUCAGAGAUGGCUCCAGAAACUCCAGUAUUUCCAGAUGAGCAUUCAUCCCAGACAAGAAACAGGUUCAGGGAGCAAAAGGUUUCCAGCAGCAAGAGGUUGCCAAGAAGAUAAACACCAACCCACUUACUCACCAUCCAAUAUCACCAGCCACCAUUGACAUAACAAGGAAAGGAAAACUGUCUCAGCAGGGUUCAUGUGGUGGUCAGAUAAGAAAAUGUGUUUGAACCGUCUAGAUGAUAUUAAUUGGAUCCCUGCUCAUUUAUUUAAAUAAAUGUUUAUAAGUAAAUAGGUAUAUCCAGGUAUCUGUAUUUCUUUAAGCCAUGUUUGGAUGAUAAAUCUUUUGGUUAAUGGUGAUGAUUAGUCAGCCCAGUUCAUAUUUAUACUUAGCUUUUUCUUUCUUCUUUCUUUCUCUCUGUUUUUUUUUUUUGUUUUGUUUUUUUUUGUUUUUUUUGUUUUUUUUUGCAGACAUUCCUGGAAACAAUGACCAUUCAGAACACAAGGCAGAAUCCAGCACCACCCUCCAACCAGUGGCAGCAGAUCCCACUGGCUAGGAGGGGCCCUCAGAAGCAGGGCAGGAGCCUUUGAAAGUGGUCAUGCUGGCAUCAAGGCCCUGAGUGGAUGCUCAUAGCCGGGGUCUAUUGAACGUCACUGAAGGGAGAGACUCCAGGGACCUGCAAGAGGGCAGGAUGACCAGGUAGAUGAGGACACCAUAGCCCGGACUUUGAGUCUUUGCUUUGUCUCUUAUUAGCUGUGUGGCCUUCAACCAAUGCCUUACACGCUGGGACUCUGGCAGAGAUGGCUUGUUCAUCCUCAAAUCAUUUACUUUUCCACGGAGCACAGGGGAGAAGCCAGGAACGCCCCCACGACUGACUCUGGCCAAUGGGAUGUCCAUGGGAGGCACGUCUGCUGUGCCCAGACCUGGCCAUUGACAUGUCCACGUGCUCCCCGACUCCAGCUCUUCCCCUACCUGCUGGAGAGAGAAGGUGCUGAUGAGUAGAGAAGGACAGAGCCACAGAGAGAAGGGGCCUGGGUCCUGAAACACCACAUGAAAAGCCACCGUGCCGGAAGUGGUCUGUGGGUGUGCCUGUGUUAGCAGGGAAUAUACACUUUUAUUGUGCUGAGCCCCUGAUAAUUUGAGAUUUAUCUAUUACUGCAUCUACAAUUAACUUCACUGAUACAGGCACAUUUUCCUUGUCUAUAUCAUGGAGGUAAAAAAUUGAUCCUUAUCUUAGGUGUCAUAAAGGUGAAAAGAAAUAAUGUAUAGGAAAUGGUUUUAGAAAUUCUAUAAGUCCUCGCCAGGUGCAGUAGCUCACGCCUGUAAUCCCAGCACUUUGGGAGGUUGAGGCAGGCAGAUCACAAGG